rnacentral:misc_RNA from 1 species
GAUGAAGAACGUAGCGAAAUGCGAUACGUAAUGUGAAUUGCAGAAUUCAGUGAAUCAUCGAGUCUUUGAACGCACAUUGCGCCCCCUGGUAUUCCGGGGGGCAUGCCUGUCCGAGCGUCAUUGCUGCCCUCAAGCACGGCUUGUGUGUUGGGCCUCCGUCCUCCUCCCGGGGGACGGGCCCGAAAGGCAGCGGCGGCACCGCGUCCGGUCCUCGAGCGUAUGGGGCUUCGUCACCCGCUCUUGUAGGCCCGGCCGGCGCUUGCCGACACAUCAACCUUUUUUCCAGGUUGACCUCGGAUCAGGUAGGGAUACCCGCUGAACAUAAGCAUAUCAAUAAGCGGAGGA